GAUUUUUAUAAGACUUAUAAAAAAAGAAAAAACAUAAUACAAUAACCAAGGCAUGUCGUACAUUGUGUUUUUUCUUUGCUUCUCUGAUGAGUAUUUACAAACAGGCUUAUUUACAGCUCAAACAUGAAAAAAGGAAGGCUACAUGAAGCCUAGCACAAACAACCAGCCAUAAUGAUAAUAUAUUUGUUAUGUACAAUGUAACUGGCAAGGCUAGAGCAAGAAACGACAUAAAGACUCUGCAAAAAGGUUCAAAUAACUUCAAGUAUCUCUUGAGGUUUUCGUGGAGGUUCUAUUCCGAAGGAGGCGAUGCCGCAGAGAAACCCCCAAACGUGUAAGAGUAGUGAGGACAUCGCAAAAGACGACAGAGACGGACGAGGCAACUGGACACCACUUCUCUGAUUAAUGCCUUUGAAACCACAUGGGAAAUCUCUCCUCGUCAUAUAAAGUAACAUCCUGCUUUUUUUUUACUGUUUUAAACGACAAAUGUGCAACAAAGGAAACAAUCGAAGGAAUCAAUAACACGCUGGUUCCUGCAGGAGGAGGGGGGGGGGGGGUAGCGGUAGCUGUCGGAACAGUUGUCAUGUUUCUUUGUUUUAGGUCAUCUUAGGCAUCCAAAAGGAACUUCACUACAUUCUGCCAACACGUCGUGGCCUCUCUCAUGAAACCGAUGAAAUCUCCAUCGUAAUAUUGUUAUCUACAUGAAAAGUCCUCACUUAGUACCUCACACGUGAAUAUGAUGGACCGCAUAAAACAAAACAGCAGUGUGAAAAAAGAGGAUCUAGCUUGCUUGAAAUAUCUGGUUGUUCUUCUAGGUUAGAAGUAGUUAGUUCUACUCUCAUUAUAUAGCCACUAGUAGGAAAUGUGUGUCCCGAGGACGGGCCAUUUGUCCUAUUUACGUCUCCAAGUGCAUAAAACUCUAACACUACUUCACGACGCUCAACAACACUGUGGGGCUCCGUCUCCUCCCCCUCUACAUUUUAGUUUAGUGUAUUCGUUUUGGAAGGAGACGAGAAGAAAACAACUCCAUUUACAACACAACAAAGGCGGAGGCCAGUUUCAGGGUCUCAAACGGCCCCCGUCACAGUGCGCUGCUUCUUGACCCCCGAACCAGGAACGCCGUUGAGACGCGAUAGUGUCACUUUUUAAGACCUUUAAAGUAGAGCAGACGUCUGUUCCAUCGCCUGUCAGGGUUAGAAGAGUGAAAUGUGGGACCGUCAUUGUGCGUUUCCUGGGAAGCCGGGUAGCAUUUGAGGAUCGCCGCCCCCCCUCCCCGCCAGACCCCCCCCUCCAACCCCUUCAGCAGACAGUGAGCAGCUGGGGCUCACUUUCUCGCCGCUGGUUCUUUUUCAACAGCUGGAUGCGAUUGUGGCAGUAGAACUUGAUGGCCCGCCAGUCGCGGUGGUUGCUGACCAGCAGGGGGCACUGCUGCAGGCAGCGCUCGCAGUCGGCCUUGGCGGGGACGCGGAGCUCGGUGAUGUUCUGGGUCAGGUGCUCCUCAACCGCCGCGCGCUCCGCCUCUGACCAGGGCCGCUUCAGGACGCCGCGCUUCCCUGCAGACAGGAGGGGAGAGUAGGUGAUGGUGACGUGUUUUGUUAGAAGCUCGGAUGGACUCCGCCCCCACCC
ensembl:lncRNA